UCUUAAUUAUAGACUAAGAGAAUAGAUAUUUUGAAGUAAAUGUCAUUUGAAACAUUGCCUCAUCAAUUUGCUGAUGGUUGUGCUGUAAUCUUUUUGCUAGGAGAAAAAUUAAGGGUUCAAGAGCAAAGUGAUCAGGCCUCUGUCAGCAACCAUUCCCCCGAAACAGAAGCUGCAGCCUGGGAAGAAAACCUCUCUCUUUUUGCUGCCUGUCAGUCCUCUGCAUCUUCAAACAGCUCAAGUUCGGACAUCAUAAGAGAUUUAGAAAUAGAUGGGAUGUGUUCAAACUCAUCAGAUAAGGAGUAUCCAUAACAUUAUCAACACUUCAAGAGAAGGAUUAUCCAGUGAUUUGUAUGAAAAAGAAGUGUGAAAACGACCAAACAAAAAUCACAACAUUCUAGGAGCAGCCUACCAAUAUCCAAGAGUAAGCGAAAAAGAAAGUAGCUGACAUUUUAUUUUGUGACAAAAAUUUCCAAAAUGGCUUUACUUCUAAAAUUUUAGAAGCAUAUCUAGGCUCAAGUUCCAUUCCCAGCAUUCUUCACAAUAAAACUACUUUUCCUGUUAAUAGCUGUAUAUUUAAGCGGUAAGAAAGUACUGUAUUACAUUCAGAAUGUAAGGUAUUAGAAUAUAUGCUGUUUUACUAGUCAUAACUGAUAAUCUCUAUGUAUAAUGGACUGCAAUUAUUAACGUCUUCAGGAUAUCAUUCUUCUAGGAUACCAUUUAAUUCAAAAUAUUUAAUUAGAAAAAAAGUCAAUUUAGGUCUUUUCAUUCUUUUCCUUUACCUCCAUUUUUAGCAGUUAUGAAUAUGUUUGACUCAUUAUUCUGGAUAAAUUGUGUAGCCCCUGA
rnacentral:lncRNA from 1 species